rnacentral:rRNA from 1 species
GAGAACUUUCCAGAGAUGGAUUGGUGGCCUUCGGGAACUCUGAGACAGGUGCUGCAUGGCUGUCGUCAGCUCGUGUUGUGAAAUGUUGGGUUAAGUCCCGCAACGAGCGCAACCCUUAUCCUUUGUUGCCAGCGGUUAGGCCGGGAACUCAAAGGAGACUGCCAGUGAUAAACUGGAGGAAGGUGGGGAUGACGUCAAGUCAUCAUGGCCCUUACGAGUAGGGCUACACACGUGCUACAAUGGCGCAUACAAAGAGAAGCGACCUCGCGAGAGCAAGCGGACCUCAUAAAGUGCGUCGUAGUCCGGAUUGGAGUCUGCAACUCGACUCCAUGAAGUCGGAAUCGCUAGUAAUCGUGGAUCAGAAUGCCACGGUGAAUACGUUCCCGGGCCUUGUACACACCGCCCGUCACACCAUGGGAGUGGGUUGCAAAAGAAGUAGGUAGCUUAACCUUCGGGAGGGCGCUUACCACUUUGUGAUUCAUGACUGGGGUGAAGUCGUAACAAGGUAAGCGUAGUGCU